UACAGAGGGUGCAAGCGUUGUUCGGAAUUAUUGGGCGUAAAGCGCGUGCAGGCGGUUCGUUAAGUCUGGGGUGAAAUCUCCCGGCUCAACUGGGAGGGGUUCUCAGAUACUGGCGGACUUGAGGGAGGUAGAGGAGAGUAGAAUUCUCGGUGUAGUGGUGAUAUGCGUAGAUAUCGAGAGGAAUACCAGUGGCGAAGGCGGCUCUCUGGACCUUACCUGACGCUAAG
rnacentral:rRNA from 1 species